UUCUUUGGCAAACUGAGCAUCUUUGGAUGAGCUUGUGCCUGAAAUGUCUUCAUCGCUUAUAAAAGGACUCUUUGGAAAAGUUUCUUCAGGAGAGACAUCUACAAAAGCAUAUUUCUUAGGUUCCUUCUUUAUCUCUGAUUCAUCUUUGGCAUCGGUGACUGGAGUUGCUUCUACUUUUGUUUCAGGAACAUCUACAGUGAUUGUAGAUUGAGAUGCAACUGGAGGUGGUGAGGAAGAACCCAAGGAUCCUGAUGAUGUUGAGUAUGAAGGGGACGAAGCAGCGCCAGAUGUUGAUGGUGUUGGAUAUGAAGGUGAGCUACUAGGUCCUGACGCAGGAGGUAUUGGAGAUGGAAAAAAGGCAGGAUUAGUGAAUUGAUUAUUUUGUGUAUUCGUCUGGUUCAUCAUAGUUUUGAAAGCUUGCUGCAUGGCAUAUUUCUGAAAGAAAAGAUCAAAAUUUCAAAAACUUCAAAAGUAAUUCUGUAAUAUAACAUAGGUAUUUUGCAAAGAUGGACACACAAAGAUAUAACUGAACCACACACUGGAUAGGGCAAGAAUAACCAAGUCACAGGUAAGCCAAAAAUGUACAUUAAGGAACAAAGUACAAGGGAACAAAAAGGCAUACAAUUAUUUCAACAGGAAAGGGAAGCAUCAUGAUGGGACAUGGGUGAUCUAUUAAUUGUUGGAAAGUUUAUUCUAAAAGGUGCAUUUAAGAUCUGUCCCUAAAGAACUGAAUUAAAUGAGCUUGAUACCUGCUCACAGGACAACCUAACUUGCCAGAAGCUUCACUUAAUUCUGAAACAGAAAUGAAUCUAGUAUGAUAACUUCAAAUAUUUGAGAGGAAAAAAUGAGAACAAAACAUAAAAAUAAAAAAUAUACAAAUAAAAAAAUGUAUAAUUAACAAUGUUCAAAUAAAUUUCCAUCACCAAAAGAAGGCACGCAUCAAUUAUUUCAAGAUUGUAAAAUCAUGAUAUCAGAUGCCAAAAGAGUGAGUCACAAAAUUAAAUAUAAGGAAAAAAAAAACACCGCACGUUAACUAAAAAAGAUUUUGGAGGCUUCCCAGCAGCUUUAAAGCAUACUUUAAAAAGUACAUCUUUGAGUUUGCUCGUUCAAGAGUACCCUGGAUGAGGGAAUAAUUGAUUUUAAUUUUUGAAAUGCCCAAGUAACAAAGUGCCCUUUAUCAGAUGGAUGCAAACUUAAUUGGUUGUUGAUCAGAUGCUUUCAAGGCGUAUGUGAACAGUUUUAGGGUCAAGGAUUUGUAGAUAUUGAUACUUGACAUUAGCUAGGCUUAAUGUUUUGAAAGUAGAAUUUAAAGACUUAAUUUUUAAAAAAUGAAAUUUCAGCACAUAUUUGCUUGCAAAAUUAAUUAAAUGGUUCAAGAUAAAAAGUCAACACCUAGAAUUCCAUAGAGAAAACACCCAAGAUCUUGGAGCAUUACACUCAAUGUCUUAUCAGUACCAAAUAAUCACAAAGAGAACUAAAAGCUUUUGAUAUUUAUAGAAAAUUAAUCUUCAAUAUUAAAAAAGCUUACAUGUAUAUAUAGGGUUCUCUAGUAAUCCUAAGUACGCAUGGAUUUGGACACUUAAACUAAAAGUAAAAGUAUAAAUCUUA
rnacentral:misc_RNA from 1 species